rnacentral:misc_RNA from 1 species
AAAUUCUCAAACCACAUUUUGUGAUGUGGAUUUGGAUGUGGGGGAAUGUUUUGCAGGCGACCUUUGGAAGUCUGCUCCCCUGAAAUGCAUUAGUGGUAUCUGAGCCUUCAGGUGUGAUAAAUUUAUCUAUGCCUGCUUGCAUUGAACAGAUUGCACCGCUUCAAACAAACGGUUCUUUUGUU